CCUACGGGAGGCAGCAGUGGGGAAUAUUGGGCAAUGGACGCAAGUCUGACCCAGCAACGCCGCGUGAAGGAAGAAGGCUUUCAGGUUGUAAACUUCUUUUAAGGGGGAAGAGCAGAAGACGGUACCCCUUGAAUAAGCCACGGCUAACUACGUGCCAGCAGCCGCGGUAAUACGUAGGGGGCAAGCGUUAUCCGGAUUUACUGGGUGUAAAGGGAGCGCAGACGGCAGUGCAAGUCUGGAGUGAAAGCCCGGGGCCCAACCCCGGAACUGCUCUGGAAACUGUGCGGCUAGAGUACUGGAGGGGCAGGCGGAAUUCCUAGUGUAGCGGUGAAAUGCGUAGAUAUUAGGAGGAACACCAGUGGCGAAGGCGGCCUGCUGGACAGUAACUGACGUUGAGGCUCGAAAGCGUGGGGAGCAAACAGGAUUAGAUACCCUUGUAGUC
rnacentral:rRNA from 1 species